GAGUCUGAAGCUGGAGCUCCAGGACUGUGGAGAGAAUGAACAAGAAGUACAACUGAAGAAAGCAGCAGCUCUUGUGUGCUUUUCUGCAAUAACUGCUGGGCUGCCGGUGGCUCUCGAGCAGCUUGACAUAAACGUGAUGAAAUCCCACGCUGGAGCACUGAAGUUGAGGCACUGGAUUUCUGGAGCAGCCAACUGCAGGUCUCUUAUCUGCAGGGAAGAUUUCCUCUGCCUGUUUUAAGUCACUCUACAGGGAAGAAUCAUAGUGUUGACGUGCAAUUUCAGCGCUCAACUACAAAGCAGAAUUCACGAGAAGCUUGCUGUG